rnacentral:rRNA from 1 species
GUAGUCCACGCCGUAAACGAUGCUUACUCGUUUUUGGGCUUUCGGGUUCAGAGACUAAGCGAAAGUGAUAAGUAAGCCACCUGGGGAGUACGUUCGCAAGAAUGAAACUCAAAGGAAUUGACGGGGGCCCGCACAAGCGGUGGAUUAUGUGGUUUAAUUCGAUGAUACGCGAGGAACCUUACCAAGACUUAAAUGGGAAAUGACAGAUUCAGAAAUGGAUCCUUCUUCGGACAUUUUUCAAGGUGCUGCAUGGUUGUCGUCAGCUCGUGCCGUGAGGUGUUAGGUUAAGUCCUGCAACGAGCGCAACCCCUGUCACUAGUUGCCAUCAUUAAGUUGGGGACUCUAGUGAG